CCAAUUUCUUAAAUUUUAAAGGUUUUCUUCCUGGGAAGAUUUUGAAGAAGAACAUGGCAAAGGGAGAGAAUAUGGUUAUGCAAGCCUUCACAAGGAGCUUGAGCCAUUUCUGUUACGCCGAGUUAAGAAAGAUGUGGAAAAAUCUCUUCCUGCCAAGGUUGAGCAGAUUUUAAGAAUGGAAAUGAGUGCUUUACAGAAACAAUAUUACAAAUGGAUUUUAACUAGGAAUUACAAAGCCCUCAGCAAAGGUUCCAAGGGCAGUACCUCAGGCUUUUUGAACAUUAUGAUGGAGCUAAAGAAAUGUUGUAACCAUUGCUACCUCAUUAAACCACCAGAUAAUAAUGAAUUCUAUAAUAAACAGGAGGCCUUACAACACUUAAUUCGUAGUAGCGGAAAAUUGAUUCUUCUUGACAAGCUAUUAAUUCGCCUAAGAGAACGAGGCAAUCGAGUUCUUAUUUUUUCACAAAUGGUGCGGAUGUUAGAUAUACUUGCAGAAUAUUUGAAAUAUCGUCAAUUCCCCUUUCAAAGUUAAAAUUCAUAUAGUAACAAAGCAAAGAGAUUAGAUGGAUCAAUAAAAGGAGAACUGAGGAAACAAGCUCUAGAUCAUUUUAAUGCUGAGGGAUCAGAGGAUUUUUGCUUUUUGCUGUCCACAAGAGCUGGAGGUCUAGGGAUUAAUUUAGCCUCUGCUGACACUGUUGUUAUAUUUGAUUCCGAUUGGAAUCCACAGAAUGAUCUUCAGGCACAGGCUAGAGCCCAUCGAAUUGGGCAAAAGAAACAGGUGAAUAUUUAUCGUCUAGUUACAAAGGGAUCAGUUGAAGAAGAUAUUCUUGAAAGGGCGAAAAAGAAGAUGGUUUUAGAUCAUCUUGUAAUUCAAAGAAUGGACACAACUGGGAAGACAGUACUACAUACAGGUUCUGCCCCAUCAAGGUGGUUACUUGAUUAUUAAAAAAAUGUCAUUUUAGAGUCAGUAAACUCAUAUUUUUGAUAUGUUACAUCACUGUAGAUCAUUGAGGAAAUGUAUUCAGAGUUGUACUUUUUAUAUUUUGGAAGACUUUGGACUAAUUUCUAGUUAGAAGACAUACUUCAAAUACCUGGUUUCAUCGCUACAGAUUUGUAAUUUUAGGGGUAAUCUCUUUCACUUCUAUGCUUCAAGUUCCUUAUUUUAAAAUAAAUAUACUGCACUAGGCAACAUAGUGAAACCCCACCUCUGCAAAAAAUAAAAAACUUAGCUGGGCAUGGUGACACACAACUGUAGUCCCAGCUACUCAGGAGGCUGAGGUGGGAGGAUCAGUUGAGCCCGGGAGGCGGAGGUUGCAGUGAGCUAAGAUUGUGCCAGUGCACUUCAGCCUGGGUGACAGAAGGAGACACUGUCUCCAAAAAAAAAAAAAAGGAUUCUAAUACUUGAUUUGUCUAACUUCUUCAUGUAACUGUUGUAAAGGUGAAAAUGUCAGUAAUUAAUAAAAGUGCUGUGUAACUGUUAUAUUUUUAACUGUUAAUGUUAAGCAUUUUUGUUUUUCCUGUUUUAGUUCUACUCCUUUCAAUAAAGAAGAGUUAUCAGCCAUUUUAAAGUUUGGUGCUGAAGAACUUUUUAAGGAACCUGAAGGAGAAGAACAAGAGCCCCAGGAAAUGGAUAUAGAUGAAAUCUUGAAGAGAGCUGAAACUCAUGAAAAUGAACCAGGUCCUUUAACUGUAGGAGAUGAAUUGCUUUCCCAGUUCAAGGUUGCCAACUUCUCAAAUAUGGAUGAGGAUGACAUUGAGUUGGAACCUGAAAGAAAUUCAAAGAAUUGGGAGGAAAUUAUUCCAGAAGAUCAAAGAAGACGAUUAGAAGAAGAAGAA
rnacentral:lncRNA from 1 species